rnacentral:lncRNA from 1 species
GCCAAACGCCCAGCUUUUUAAUCCGCUUAUAUAAGAACCACUUUAGUCAAAACCGUCCAAAAUAAACUUGAAAACAAAAUCGGCCGAGUCAUUCCAAUAAUAGGAAACUGUUACUUUCUACAAUAUAAACCCUAUAGACUAUUUUAUCUUCUUCCGCAUGUAUUCUUCAUGAUACUUAAAUUCUCUACACAGUCAGAUUUUCUCAGCAUCCGGAUUCCUAGAAAAGCAUCCAGAUUCCUAUUAUGUCCCUCGUUCGUUGGCUCGAUUAUCUGAGGCCAAGCUUCACUUGCUGCAGGACUAUUACCAUGUGUCGUGUCUGUGUUACCGCAAUGCAUGUUGUCCUCGCACACUUAGGUCAGCGAGGAGAUUCUUACUCCAUGGAUAACCUUUAUUUUCGAGUCCACCAAACCAGCCUUAUGAUUAUAUUAUUUUAUGCGUGCACAUGUAGGACUACAAGACUUUGUUUUAGUUCAAAAAAGAACUAGUCAGAGACAAAUAUUCG